UAAGGUGACCUCUUCGUACGAAAGGAUCAGAUGGUUAUAUUCCUAUAGUAUAUCAGUUGUUGAUAGGUUUUUUUAUUUAGAGGCACAGCUGAGUAGCCACGAAUGUAAGGGAUAAAAGUUGAAAGCAUAUUAAACUUGAAACCUGCUUUUAGACA
rnacentral:ncRNA from 1 species